rnacentral:rRNA from 1 species
GCCUAACACAUGCAAGUCGAGCGGCAGCGAGAUUAGUAGCAAUACUAAUUGUCGGCGAGCGGCGGACGGGUGAGGAACACGUAGGAACCUGCCUAGUAGAGGGGGAUAACCAAUGGAAACGUUGGCUAAUACCGCAUAAUCUCGAGAGAGCAAAGCUGCAGCAAUGUAGCGCUAUUAGAGGGGCCUGCGUCCGAUUAGCUAGUUGGUGAGGUAAUGGCUCACCAAGGCGAUGAUCGGUAACUGGUCUGAGAGGACGACCAGGCACACGGGGACUAAGACACGGCACAGACUCCUACGGGAGGCAGCAGUGGGGAAUCUUGGACAAUGGUGGCAACCCUGAUCCAGCGAUGCCGCGUGAGUGAAGAAGGCCUUCGGGUCGUAAAGCUCUUUAGGCUGGGAAGAAGGGUAGUUGAGGAAAUGCAGCUACUUUGACGGUACCAGCAGAAUAAGCACCGGCAAACUCUGUGCCAGCAGCCGCAGUAACAC